rnacentral:rRNA from 1 species
GUCUGUAUGAAGUUAUAUAGAGUCUAACCUGCCCAUUGAAAUUUUUUAAAAGGCCGCGGUAUUUUAACUGUGCAAAGGUAGCAUAAUAAUUAGUUUUUUAAUUGAAAACUUGAAUGAAAGGUUGGACAAAGAAAAAUCUGUCUUUAGUGUUUAUUUUGAACUUUACAUUUAAGUGAAAAGGCUUAAAUAUAUUUAAGGGACGAUAAGACCCUAUAAAUCUUUACAUUUAUUUAUUUUUUAUUAAUUUAGAUUAAAAUUAAUUUUAAUGUAAAAUAUUUGUUUUAUUGGGGUGAUAUAAAUAUAAAUUAAAAACUGUUUAAAAUUUAAACAAAUAUAAUUGAUUUAAUUAAAGAUCCUUUUUAGAGAUUUCAAGUUUAAGUUACUUUAGGGAUAACAGCGUAAUUUUUUUUAAGAGUUCUUAUCGAAAAAAAAGUUUGCGACCUCGAUGUUGAAUUAAAAUUUCUUCUUAAUGCAGAAGUUAAGAGAGAAAGUCUGUUCGACUUUU